CAGAAAAGGACUUACUUAUCCAGAGAACCUAAAGGCAGAGAUGUUUACAUAAAGUCGAUUUUAAAGGAAGAAGAUCAACAACAGAGGAAAAAUAGGAUAAUGGCUCGGCGAUGGGAGCGGACAGGUCUUGCUGCAGGAGAUGAUGUAAGGGCUGUGCUGAUUGGCCGAAGGUUACCCCGAGCUGACAGCAAACACAUUUCAUCACAAAGCUUUAAGAUGAUGAUGUUGGCAGAAUGACAAGUAGAGAUCAGAGGUCCAGAGAACCAUCCAGAGUCUCUCUGCCCUCCCCUCAACAUGUACAGACAUUAAUCCGGCAAUUCACUUUCUCUCUUCCCGGGGUACAAAAUGUUCUUUUCCAUCAGUUAUCUAAAAGUGCCCGAAGUCUUCCGUUCUGCCUUUGUACAGUAUAGUGUUUAACAGAAACUGUCUGCAAGCUGGAGUCCUGUUAAAUUACAGCCUGCAGAGAGCCGGGCCUUCUAAACCACCUGGGAGCCACACGGCUCCAGAGCAGCUCAGCCAGAGACAUUCUGCACUUUUUAUUAUUUACAAAUAAAAAAAAUCACAGCAAUUCUCUGUGCCGUUAAAAUGCCACGAAAAGAGA